rnacentral:tRNA from 1 species
GGGGGUGUAGCUCAGUGGAACAGCACGUGCUUAGCAUGCACCAGGCCCUGGGUUUGAUCCCCAGCACCACAC